rnacentral:rRNA from 1 species
AUUGAACGCUGGCGGCAGGCCUAACACAUGCAAGUCGAGCGGAUGACGGGAGCUUGCUCCUUGAUUCAGCGGCGGACGGGUGAGUAAUGCCUAGGAAUCUGCCUGGUAGUGGGGGACAACGUUUCGAAAGGAACGCUAAUACCGCAUACGUCCUACGGGAGAAAGCAGGGGACCUUCGGGCCUUGCGCUAUCAGAUGAGCCUAGGUCGGAUUAGCUAGUUGGUGGGGUAAUGGCUCACCAAGGCGACGAUCCGUAACUGGUCUGAGAGGAUGGUCAGUCACACUGGAACUGAGACACGGUCCAGACUCCGACGGGAGGCAGCAGUGGGGAAUAUUGGACAAUGGGCGAAAGGCUGGUCCAGCCAUGCCGCGUGUGUGAAGAAGGUCUUCGGAUUGUAAAGCACUUUAAGUUGGGAGGAAGGGCAGUAAGUUAAUACCUUGCUGUUUUGACGUUACCGACAGAAUAAGCACCGACUAACUCUGUGCCAGCCGCCGCCGUAA